rnacentral:rRNA from 1 species
UACGAAGGGGGCUAGCGUUGUUCGGAAUUACUGGGCGUAAAGCGUGCGCAGGCGGCUUCUCUAGUCAGGGGUGAAAGCCCAGAGCUCAACUCUGGAAUUGCCUUUGAGACUGCGUGGCUUGAGUACGAGAGAGGUGAGUGGAAUUCCCAGUGUAGAGGUGAAAUUCGUAGAUAUUGGGAAGAACACCCGUGGCGAAGGCGGCCCACUGGGCCGGUGCUGACGCUGAGGCGCGAAGGCGUGGGGAGCGAACGGG